rnacentral:rRNA from 1 species
ACGAACGCUGGCGGCGUGCCUAAUACAUGCAAGUCGAGCGAACUUUAAGAGUGCUUGCACACUUAAAGUUAGCGGCGAACGGGUGAGUAACACGUAAAGAACCUACCUUAUAGACAGGGACAACUAUUGGAAACGAUAGCUAAUACCUGAUAAGAAAGAAACUCGCAUGAGAGAAGUUCGAAAGUCGGAGCAAUCUGACACUAUAAGAUGGCUUUGCGGUGCAUUAGCUAGUUGGUAGGGUAAAAGCCUACCAAGGCGACGAUGCAUAGCCGACCUGAGAGGGUGAUCGGCCACAUUGGGACUGAGACACGGCCCAGACUCCUACGGGAGGCAGCAGUAGGGAAUCUUCCGCAAUGGACGAAAGUCUGACGGAGCAACGCCGCGUGAGUGAAGAAGGAUUUCGGUUCGUAAAACUCUGUUGUUAGGGAAGAAAAAAUGUAUAGUAACUAUAUACAAAAGAGACGGUACCUAACCAGAAAGCCACGGCUAACUACGUGCCAGCAGCCGCGGUAAUACGUAGGUGGCAAGCGUUGUCCGGAAUUAUUGGGCGUAAAGCGCGCGCAGGUGAUUUAGAAAGUCUGAUGUGAAAGCCCACGGCUCAACCGUGGAGGGUCAUUGGAAACUAAUAAACUUGAGUGCAGGAGAGAAAAGUGGAAUUCCUAGUGUAGCGGUGAAAUGCGUAGAGAUUAGGAGGAACACCGGUGGCGAAAGCGGCUUUUUGGCCUGCAACUGACACUGAGGCGCGAAAGCGUGGGGAGCAAACAGG